GGGGGUUUAGUUCAGCAGCACAAGCAUCUGCCUGGCAAGCACAAGGUCAUGAGUUCGAGUCCCAAUACCCCCC
rnacentral:tRNA from 1 species